UGGGGAAUAUUGGACAAUGGGGGAAACCCUGAUCCAGCCAUGCCGCGUGGGUGAAGAAGGCCUUAGGGUUGUAAAGCCCUUUCGGCGGGGAAGAUGAUGACGGUACCCGCAGAAGAAGCCCCGGCUAACUCCGUGCCAGCAGCCGCGGUAAUACGGAGGGGGCUAGCGUUGUUCGGAAUUACUGGGCGUAAAGGGCGCGUAGGCGGAACGGCAAGUCAGGGGUGAAAGGCCUGGGCUCAACCUGGGAACUGCCUUUGAAACUGCCGAUCUAGAGUCCGGAAGAGGAUGGCGGAAUUCCCAGUGUAGAGGUGAAAUUCGUAGAUAUUGGGAAGAACACCAGUGGCGAAGGCGGCCAUCUGGUCCGGAACUGACGCUGAGGCGCGAAAGCGUGGGGAGCAAACAGGAUUAGAUACCCCCGUAGUCC
rnacentral:rRNA from 1 species